UUACGGCCAUAUCAUGUUGAAACUCCAGUUCUUGUCUGAUCACCAAACUUAAGCAACAUUGAACUUGGUCAGUGCUUAGGUGGGUGACCAUAUGGGAAUACCAGGUGCUGCAAGC